GCUAGUUAAGGAUCUAUAGGCCUAGUUAUCACGUUUCACGUUGGAUUUCUUAACUACAAAAAGGUCAGGUGGAAAUGUCCGACAGAUCUCCACUCCAUAAAAGGAGGAAAUCACCAUCGCCUGAUCGCGCUGCUUUCUCUUCCUUCACUCUGUCAAAUCCAGAAGUUCUGUGCGUCCAUGAAUCCACCGACUCUGUUCCCUAUCAUCUGAACAUUCAUCUGAACUAUCUGUUGCGAUCGGGAGAGUGGGCCAUCAGUUGUUGUUUGAAGUUAUUAUCGCAGAGCCCGGCUUGGAGCGCACGCUUCAAACAUUUUGUGUAAUGUGACUGGUCAAUGAUUCCGGCCCUACGGAUCAUAAUAGGUCAAUUAUGCAAUUGGUAUGGUUAAUAUGUAAUGAAAUUCCAUGUACACAUGAAGACACUUGAAAGGGUGAAAUAAGAAAGUAAUUGUUUGUUGAACUGAUCGGCUCUGAUAUCCAACUAAUGGCGAUUAUAGAUUGAAUAACCGAUCACUCACAGACUACCCAGUAAAUAUACCACUUUAUGGUUAAAGGAAUUCCUGCCUCAGUCUCAUCCAUUCCUCUGUCACCUGACCCGUGACCACCUGUUCACCCUCACUGUCAGUCAUCCUACCUGUCCAGCUA
rnacentral:lncRNA from 1 species